UUUCUGCUCCCUCCGUCCCAAAAUUCUUGUCUUAGAUUUGUCUAGAUACGGAUUUAUCUAGUCACGUCAUAGUGUUAUAUACAUCCGUACCUAGACAAAUCUAAGACAAGAAUUUUGGGACGGAGGUAAAUAUGAU
rfam:Triticum aestivum genome assembly, contig: Triticum_aestivum_CS42_TGACv1_scaffold_320742_4BL